rnacentral:rRNA from 1 species
GUACACGCUGUGACUAGCAUAUCAAUAAGCGGAGGAAAAGAAACUAACAAGGAUUCCCCUAGUAACGGCGAGUGAAGCGGGAAGAGCUCAAAUUUGAAAUCUUAAAGGGUUUCCCUUUACGAAUUGUAGUUUAAAGAAGUGUUUUCUGUUGAGGUUUUGGUAAAAGUUCUUUGGAAUAGGACAUCAUAGAGGGUGAGAAUCCCGUAUUUGACCUUUACUUUCAACUUUGUGAUACACUUUCAAAGAGUCGGAUUGUUUGGGAAUGCAGUCCAAAAUGGGUGGUAAAUUUCAUCUAAAGCUAAAUAUUGGCGAGAGACCGAUAGCGAACAAGUACCGUGAGGGAAAGAUGAAAAGAACUUUGAAAAGAGAGUUAAACAGUACGUGAAAUUGUCAAAAGGGAAGCGUUUGACACCAGUGUUGUUUUUCUGAAAAUCAAUUAAAGAACUGUUUAUGCUAAGUUGUUUAGACUUUAUCAGCUAACUGUUUAGUUUUGAGCUUUUCUUUAAUGCACUUUUCAGUUAACAAGUCAACAUCAAUUUCUUUUGCUGUAAAAAAGCUUGAGGAAGGUGGCUUGAGAUUCGUCUUAAGUGUUUAUAGCCUCUUGCCUAUGCAGUCGGAGAGAUUGAGGUCUGCAGCGUAGAUCCUUCGGGGCUAAAUGCAUUUGUGCUAAGUUAUAGCAUUUUAUAGACAACUUGUUGACUAUGAUUUGUCUUGUAGCUUACUCGCUUAUGUUAUUUUACCUACGCUUAGGAUGUUGACUGAUAUGUAGUCGUA